CUCUGCUGGGAGCCACGCCCCGGGCCCUGUGCACAUUCUCCUCAGAUUCAGGGAGCGCCCUUUUCAAUUGCUCUGCUUCUUUCUAUCAAAGCAGAGGCCGGGUGGGUCUGAUUAUCACCAUGAAGAACUCCCAGCAUUUUAUCUGCCUAUCCAGGCUAUUACUGCCUCAAAGUACAUUUACUCUCCCAUCCUUGGGUCCCAGAACAGAAAGGCAAAUGGGAAGGUCAAGGAAGAGACAGAUAAUGAUGACCCCUUUGGGGCUAUCGGCUAUAGCCCAGGAGCCCUUUAACUCCUUGAGUCAGAGGUGAAGCAAUAACAAAGUGCCUGAGGACUUGGGCUCCAGAGGUAAGCCACCUAGCCCUGGACCCUGGGGCUCCUGCUGACUACGGAGUGGCCUUUGGCUGUUAGUGGAGCGAUGUGUGCUGACUCUUCACUGAACUUGAAAUGUAGCUCAGCAGAGCGCCUGUGCACCGACUACUCACACGCCAGGCUCCAUGCCCAGCACUGUGUACAAAGUGGGAAAAGAAGAACAGAAUGAGCAGCAAACACAGAGGAUAAAGUAAAACCCGAAGCAAGCACCAGCUACGGCAUCUGUAACCUCAACAGUAGGAACGGGGUGAGGCCGGGGCCAUAGAAACCCCAUCCUGAGAAGAAAAAAAGAAAGAAAGAAAAAUAAUUUAAAAGAGAUGUGUUGGGGGAUAAAUGGUGGAGGUGCAUAUUUUACAUACCAACGCGGACCUGGCCUCCAGGCUCUCCCAGCAUCCCUCAGUCCCUACCUGUUUGUUACUGGGCAAGCCUGGCAUACCCCACCACCCCACCUUCUGCCCUGAACUUUCCUGCCUAGGGGUUGGGCUUCCCUCCCCUCCGAAGCUCUUCCCUACACAAUCCAGACAUUUGGGGCUCUCUCGCCCCCAUCUGCAUUUUCUCCGUCUUGGCCUGUGCACACUCUUUCUCUUACUCCUCCCCCCUUCUCGCUCUCCACGGUGACUUCCCUCCCCCAACCUCCAGUCUCCACAGUGGCUUCCCUGGCCUCUUUCCUUAGGACCAGUGAACCAGAGAGCAGCUUCCCAAUAACCCUGACUUUAUAUACUUUAACUUGGCUUACAUUGGCUCACUUCAGAAGCAGAGAAUACCUAUCAAAAUGGAAAGUUGGAGUAAAUAAAAAAGUGAAAAGGAUGUAAGGAGGAGAGAUGGAGGGGGAAAGGAAAGGCACAGAGACAGAGAGACACAGAAUGACAGAGGCAGAGAGACAUAGAGGGAACAGGGAACAGAUAAACCCAAUGAAAACAAUAAAAACAAACAAACAGUGCAUAAGCCAAGUCAAGCCAACCAACCAAACAACUCAGGAAGGGAAAAAGCCAGGCUUGGAGACUUAUCAGCAUGCAGGAGCUUGAAGAUGGAGGAUUGCUGUGAGGCUGAAGACAGUCUAAGUUACACAGUGAGUUGGAGGCUAGCCUGGGCUAAAGCAAACCUGUCUCAAAAAGUCAAAAAGAACAGCCUGGGUUAUAUCCAAAUGACCCUGCUAAAACAAAACAAACAAAGCAAAACGCCAAAGCUAAUCAAACAAAAGCAAAAAAAGAAACAAAGUUUUAAAAAUUAGCGCAUCCUCUCUGCAGGGGUAGUGAGCCGGCACCAGUCUAGUGUGCAUCUCUCUCUGUGUCUGCUCAGACUGGAGCUCUGAAAGAUGGCCAAAGCCAGGGAGUUUGGCCCCUGUCUGUGGUGUGCUUGCUCCCCGGCAGUCAGUUGGCGUGGCUAGGGGUGGAAGUUGGUCGCCACGCCUUUCAGCUUCCCUCCCUGUGGUACAGAGUUUAAUCCAGACAGACUUGUGCGCCCAGUCCCAGGCAACAGGACAGGAAGAGGGCCUGCAGCCAGCUGUCCAGGAGCAGAGGUGCAGCGGGUGCCACACAUUCUACAGACAGAGACUAUGGGUUUCUGAUACCCAGCCUUUGUAUAAUCAAUCGCCUGUCCCAGUGGGUCUACUGGUGGCCUUUAACUGGCUGCCAAAGGCGGAGACUUGAAGGGACAAUGGGCACCACCUCAUUUCAGGUUUUUAACCCAAAUUUUCCUGCAGUUACUUCUCAGUGAGUUUGCUUCAGUGGCAUUUUGCCAGGGGCGCAGGGGCCACAGGUGGACUCUGGCUAGAACAACGUGGCAAUACUUGCCGAAAGAUCCAGGGGAAAGAACAAACGUCAGGUAUCUGCUUCCCAAAGUAACAGUCUUGCACAUGACCUUUUACCUAGGGUGAGAGCUUCCAGAUGCAUAGCGCUGUGCACAGAUGUUUUGCCCUGUGUGUGCCUGUGAGCCAGCUUCCCUCCACACCUGCCCCACCGCUCUCAGCCUCUCUCUCCCUCUGUCCCAUUAACCACUCUCAGUUCUCUCCAGAGAAUGAGUCUAGAUUGCUGCCUGUCCAUCACCUCACGAAGAGGUGGCUGAGAAGCAGAAAAGUGCGCUCACUUCUCGCUGGCCGCCUUGGCGCCUUUGUUUUUUGCCCCCUGCUAUUAAACUUUUUUUUUUUUUAGCUGAACUUUAUUUUUUUGAACCUCUGUUUUACACUCUUGGAAAUAUACAUGUCAGUUACAGAAGUUUUAGCAAUGACAGAAAUGCACAAAAAAGAAAUUCUUAAAAUGAAAGACUUUUUUUUUUGCUCUCUUCAAAAUAUUCUUUUGUAUUAAAUGAUAAUUUCAGUAAAAGAGGAGACUCAAGUGAUUGGACAUUAUGUGUUCCAGGGAGAAAAAAGACAAACUCUUUCCAGUUCUGCUUGGCUCCCAUUCAGCUUCUUGGGUUGUGACAAUGACCUCCCUCCACCCCCCACCCCACCCCAGUCCUCCUCUCCCUUCUAAGAUGGUGGAGAGAGCCACAAGCUAACAUGCAGGCACCCAAGAAGCCACCUUGAGCCUCCCAGUGCCCACAGGGAAUUGGGCAAAUAUGUGUCUAAGUGUGGUCUGGAUUACAAGAGCUCCAUGCCUAUAAUCUAGGGGUUGAUCUAACUGGGGUAAUCAAAUGAAGAAAGCACAGAGACAGACAGACAGACAGACAGACAGACAAGCUGGCAUCAGACGGUCUGGGCUCUCAGACGAAGUCACGGCACACCCAAAGCUGAGUGGUUAUUAUAUAGUUGACCAGAGAUAUGGGGCUAUUGUACACAGCGGAGCAAGGAGAUGGGUGUAGCUAGCGUCAGUGGGGACCAUCACUGCAGGGGAGCAGACUCCAGGCACUAACCGUGGGGGGAGGAGUUAUGGUGGACAUUUUCUCCAGACACUGUCAACAUUCUCACACAGACCAUGGGAAGCCUUUGCCUUUCCUCUGACUCUCACCCAGGGUAAGCUUUGACGUUCUCAUGGGUCUGAUGCAUAGGAGCCCUUGACAUGGCUGUGCCCUUGCUGGUAAUGCAGUUCACUCAACAUGGCUGUGCCCUUGCUGGUAGUGCAGUUCACUCACCAUGGCUGUGCCCUUGCUGGUAAUGCAGGUCACUCAACAUGGCUGUGCCCUUGCUGGUAAUGCAGUUCACUCAACAUGGCUAUGCCCUUGCUGGUAAUGCAGUUCACUCAACAUGGCUGUGCCCUUGCUGGUAAUGCAGGUCACUCAACAUGGCUGUGCCCUUGCUGGUAAUGCAGUUCACUCACCAUGGCUGUGCCCUUGCUGGUAAAUACAGGUCACUCAACAUGGCUGUGCCCUUGCUGGUAAUACAGGUCACUCACCAUGGCUGUGCCCUUGCUGGUAAUACAGGUCACUCACCAUGGCUGUGCCCUUGCUGGUAAUGCAGGUCACUCACCAUGGCUGUGCCCUUGCUGGUAAUGCAGGUCACUCACCAUGGCUGUGCCCUUGCUGGUAAUGCAGGUCACUCAACAUGGCUGUGCCCUUGCUGGUAAUGCAGGUCACUCAACAUGGCUGUGCCCUUGCUGGUAAUGCAGGUCACUCAGGGUUUUACUCACUCCCUACAUGAGUGUUUGUACACCAACAACACUUCAACCUCCCACACGCUGGAGUCCAUGGUUGAAGGUCCCUACCUCUCCUUUCAGAAUCUUUUCUCUUCCCUGUGCCUCAAAUGCACAUCUAACUAUUGCUGUUCAGCCUUGCAGGAAUAUUACAUCUAAAACUGUAAAACUGUCUCCUUUUUUUUUUCAGCUUUGGUCCUUAUUAUUUAUGGCUUGGUUCAUGAAAACUUACCAUAUCCUUUUUUUGAUGAUUUAUUUAUUUUUAUUUUUAUUUUAUGUGAAUUGGUGUUUUGCCUGCAUGUAUGUUUGUAUGAGAGUGUUGGAUCCCCUGGAACCGAAGUUACGGACACUGAACUGCCAUGUGGGUGCUGGGAAUUGAACCUGGGUCCUUCAGAAGAGCAGCCAGUGCUCUUAACCACUGAGCCAUCUCUCAACCGCCUGAAUUCUUUCCCUUCCUUCUUUCCUUCUUUCCUUCUUUCCUUCCUUCCUUCCUUCCUUCCUUCCUUCCUUCCUUCCUUCCUUCCUUUCGUUUCUUUCUUGUUAGAUUGCAGAAGUAAAAGGUAUCUACUAGAAGACAUUUGGGGAAUAUUAGACUUGUACAAAGGAGGAAAUGAAGAGCGUCAGCAGAUCUGCCAUCCAGAGGACUUGGCUGAUCCUCCUGACUCUCUGGCUCUGGAUAGGUAAGUGGCAAGGAGAUAGACACACGUGGAGGGGAUGGAGCGGGGCUUGCCUGGUCCUAACUGCCAGACAGCUGGUCACAGCACUCUCCUCUUUAGAUGCAAUUUCUCUCCCUAAAACCACUACUAAACCACCUACCCAUCACUUAGGCGACCACUCACCCGCGGUAUAGAGGGAAGCGUCUACUAACUCCAACACUUACUUCUCAGGGUGAGCAUUGCCUUUCGAUACUUUCUGCUAAAGCGGCCUUCCUGAGAUUGGGCUGUUUAUAAAGGAAGGAGACUUACGGUCCUAGAGGUUGGAGAGUUCAAGACCAUGCUACCAGCAUAUGCCUGACUUCUGCUGAUAGACCUGUGCCUCUCUCAGUGUGGCAGAAAAGCCCAAGAGCAAGUGGGUGUGUGAAGAAGACUAAUCCCGAGUGGCAGAACUGCUUUAUACGCUCUCGCUCUCCAGUACACAACCCAGUCCCAGGAAAGCAGGAGCUAAGAAAGCUGAGAAAGCAGUCAAUCAUUCCUGAGGGCUGCAGCUCCUUUUUCAAGCCCCGCCUCCAGGCUACACCCCUCCCAUUUCUGCCACCAUCUCAGUCACUUUAGGUAUUAUUGGGACAAAGUUCCCGACAGGCGCAACUUAAGGAAAGAACUGUUGAUUUUGGCUCACAGUUUGAAGGGACAUAGUCCACCCUGGCUGGAAGGAGUGUGUUGGCAGCAUCAGCUGGACAUAGCCAGUCACAUACCAGAGGCAGAUGCACGCAGGCAGGAAGCAGAGCUGUAAACACCCUGCUGUUCAGCUGGCUUUCGUUUUCCAUUCAUUCCUGGAUCCCAGCCCAUGGGAUGGUGCCACCGACAUUUAGGGAGGUUCCUCCAUCCUCAGUCAGCAUAAUCGAGCGGCUUCCUCACAGAUACACCCAGAGGUUUGUUUCCAUGAUGGUUCUCAAUCCUGUCAGGUGGACAGUCAAGAUUAAACCAUCAGAGCCAUGCUGAUGAAUCGCGCUUUAACGUGGGUGUUGGUGGGGGCAAACCACGGAAGACGUAAAACCUAGAUAACCCAACCAAAUCCUUCCUGGGGACUUUUAUUAGCUUGAAACAGAGAAAGUGACUCAUUUCUACUUUGGGGUGAAAACAGGAAGGUCUCUGGUGCUACUCGUAGCUACGUGAUAGUCCUGUGAGAAAGCGGUCUCAGAACCGAAGGGGAGGGCGGGGUUGCCCGUGCUCUCUGGUCUGCAGCUUCCUGCUGUACCUGCUUCCUCCAUCCCUGGAAGCUGCAACUUCCUGUCCUCCCCUAAGGUGGCUCUGUGAAUGGAGUUUUCUUUUGCUCUGUAGUUUGAGACUUUUUCACCAUGAAAGAGAGUCUUAUAUAAACGCAGACGUUAUAUUAAGGAGACAAAAAUUACGAGAAACAUUAAAGAGGCAUUAAUUUUUUUAUUCACAUGAAGUGUUGGGGGCUCUUGUCAUCUGUUCUGUAUAUGGCCAAAAGCAUAGAUGUCACCACCUCAUCCCUCACAUGGCUCUGGGAGGAAACAGAAUAGGUGUCCCAGUGUUGGGGGAAUGGUGGUCACCUCUGAAGGUCUGCUUCUCACUGCCUGUCUGGAUCGAGGUUUCUCAAGUAAACAUGAUGGAUGGAAAAAAAUCUGAUAAAGCUAACGUAUUGGUUACCUAGCAACCACCUCAACUCUCUGGCCAGGCUGACCCUUGUUCUCCGUGCAUCUGUGCACAAUCCGAGCAGGCUCUGGUUGGCUUAGCCCUGUGGGGUCCCCCUUCCUUACCUUUUCCUGUCAGCCUUUGCUUGACUCUUGCCCCUAGCAUGUUUGGACUUUUCUCCUGUCCCUUUGGUUACAACCAACCUUAGUUCUUUUUUAUUUUGUUUUGUUUUUAAGAUUUUCUUUUUACUUUUAAUUAUAUGUAUAUAUGUUGUAUAUAUGUAGAUAUAUAUAUGAAUGUGGGUAUGUGCAUGCAAGUGCAGUGCCUGCAGAGGCCAGAAGAUGGCGAUAGAGCAACCCUUGAGCUGGUGUUCAGGUGGCUGUGCACCACAUAUGUAGGUGUUAGGAACCAAAUUCCAAAUUCCAGACCUCCCCAAGAGCAGUAAGUUCUCUUGGCUGCUGGCCUCCCAGCCCCUUUAAAAGAGAUUUGUACCUAGCCUUAGUUUAAUUUGUUGAGUUAGAGAACUUUCUAAGAAUAUUUAUUCCAACCCUUCCACCCUUCCAUCUUUUUGUUUUGUUUUGUUUUGUUGGGUUUUUUGUUUUUGUUUUUGUUUUGUUUUGUUUUGUUUUGUUUUGUUUUGUUUUGAGACAGGGUUUCUCUGAGUAGCCCUGGCUGUCCUGGAACUCACUCUGUAGACCAGGCUGGCCUCAAACUCAGAAAUCCGCCUGCCUCUGCCUCCCAAGUGCUGGGAUUACAGGCGUCCGCCACCACUGCCUGGCCCAACCCUUCUAUCUUGUUCUGCUCCUGCUCCAGCUCCACUUAAAACAUUAUCCCUAGUGUCAAUUCAUUUGGCUGCUUCCUCAGAUACAUCCAUCUCAGGUGCCUGAAGGCAGGGGACUGGGCGGGAUGAGGAGGAGGAAGAGGAGGAGGAGGAGGAAGAGGAAAGAUGGUUGUUCAUUUAGAAUGGAAUGGGUAAGGGUGGUAGCAAUCAGCUUCCCACCACCUUAGCAGAGUACCUGGCAUAAUCGUCCCUUGCAAAGAGAAGGUUUAUGUGGCCUAUGGUUUGGAAGUCUAAUUCACAACUGAUUGGCAGCGCUGCUUGGGGCCUGGGAGACACCACAUCAUGUUAGGAGCACAUGACAGAGUACCACUGCUCACCUCAUGGUCAAGAAGUGUUGGAAUGUGCGUAGAGUCAGGGUCCACCAUCCCCUUGCAGGCCACGCUCAACAAUUCUAAAUAUCUCCUGCUAGGCCAUAUCUCGUAAAGGUUCCAAACCUCCCAGUCAUAUUUCCCUGGGACCAAACCUUUAACUCAAGGGGACAGUCACUCUCUAACUAUGACAGUUGGAAAUAUUUCUGUGUAGUUAAGACAUGGGUGGGUCUCACAGUUUACUCUUUUGCCCCAUUGACUAGCUUAGUUGGUUUCACUGUAUUUAAUGGUGGCUAAAAGAUAUCUUGAGAAUGAUUUCAAGGACUUCUCUACCUCAUCCUCCUCUUCUUUGUCUUCCUCCCCAUCCUCCUCUUCCUCCUUCUUCUGACACAGUGUCUUGCUUGCUAUGUAGUCCAGGCUAGUCUGAAACUGGCUAUGUAGCCCAGGUUUACCUCAAACUUAUUCUCCUGGAUCAUUUUCCCUCCCAGGAGCUGAGGUUAUAGGAAUGUGCCACCACAUUCAGCUAGCACCUUUGAAAAUAUCACUGCUAGUCUUGGCAAUAAACAACUCUUGUCUGUGUUUAUAUAAGAACCUAAAAUGGAUUGUCUCCUUUUUUCUGAAAGGCUUUGCUGACCUCCUGGGUCCCUCUUGAAUGCUCCCUUGCCUCCACGUGGGGGUGCUGUGCUUCUGGAGUCUCCUGAUUAUUAAGUUAGUUGCUAAUUAGUUAUGAUCAAUCUCUGCCUCCCUCUUUAUCAUAUUUUCAGUCCCUAAAUGAAGACUAUAUACAACAGAGAAUUUAAAAUCAAGAGCCCAGGCAUGGUGGUUGGUGCUUGCCUGUAAUCAUAGCACUCAAGGGAUAGAAGCAGGAGAAUCAGGAGUUCAAGGCCAACCUUAGUUACAAGAGGGAUUCUAGGCCAACAAGGCUGUAAGAAACUCUGUCUCAACAAACAAACAAACAAACUAAACAAUGGAGCCAGGUGAGGUGGUACCCAUUUUUAAUCCCAGCACUUAGGAGGCAGAGGCCAAAAGGUCUCUGCAAGUUUAAGGCCAGCCUAGUCUACAUAGCAAAUCAACCAAGCCUGGUGUACAUGGCAAAACUGUCUCAGAUAUAAAAAUAAGAAGGAUGAAAAGGAAAGGAAUGGCCAGGCUGGCAGACGGCUCAGUGGGAAAGACAUUUGCUGGCAGACUGAUGACCUAAGUUCCAUCCAUGGACCUGCAGGGCAAGAGAGGAGCAACCAACAAUGAAACAAGCGAGACAAAGAAUGGUUUCAGGAUCCGGAUGGACGAUGAGGAAAACAAAAACAGGAAAAUGGGAAAAAGUGCAGAUAGAAGGUGAGCAGUGCCAGCCUGCUGUCUGCUGUCACUGAGGUAAAGUCGGCCUGAGUCCUACCACAGACCUGCUGUGAGAGCCACUGGUUUCCGGUGACUGGUGAGAGCCCACUGCUGCCAGGCACCUUUCAAGACAGCGAGACUGGGUCCUACUUUGAUAUCUGGGCCUUAUGUGCUGAGAGCGUUCUGUGUUUCCUUUACCUACAAGCCCUUCUGUGCCGUGGUUAUGUCUCAUGCAGUUGGUGAAAAUAGUUCUACCACACACAGCAGACGGUUAUUGGUCUAGGGAGCUAGGUCCAAGCCAAAUACAGCCACAACGAUGCUGGUCUCCUGGGAGGCCUGGUAACCCUGACUGUUGACAUGUUUAGCUAAUACGUUUCCUACUGGCUGCAUGAAGACACACUCAUUUUGGCAGAUCGUGUUUUCUAAGAUGCUUGCAGUGAUACCCGCUCCCCUCCCACACAUACCUAGUCAUUUUCCUCUCAACAGGACCUUAACACCCCUCUCAUUGACAGGUCAGGGCUUAUGUGCUCUUCCCAGAGCUCUGUGUAAGGCCCUGUAGCUACCUCAGUACAAUAUGACAAAGGCCAUGCCACAAGACUUUCUGAGACUAAUGUUAAGAUGCCAGGCAUUUCUACUUUGUUUUCUUGGGAUACUCGCUCUUGGGAACCGGCAACCACAGUCUGAAGAUACGCAGUAGAGCGUGGAGAUCCCCAUGUGUCAGGAACUGAGGACACGGAUGGGUUUGUACCCAACAGCCAGCCAUGUGAGAGAGCCUCUGAGAGUGCAGCCUGCAGCCCCAAGUGAGCUGCCCGGCUGAAGCCACAUGGAGAGAAGGAGCGGGCCUCAGGGAACUCCACAGCUGGGAGCGAAAGAACCCACAGUCACCUGAAGCUAUCGGCUUUGUGAUGGCUAGUUAGGCGGCGUCAGAUGGCUGAAACCCAAAGUCGACAGACUUUCCUACUAGGGUGGCGCGAAUGCUAAGUGUAUCCAGGGCAGGCCACCGGAGCCGGGGUGAAGCCUAACUUUUCAUGCUCUCCACAAGCCCCACGCACAAGCCAGGCUCGGGGGCUCUAAAAGCCAAGCUGUGAAAGAGGUGCUAUUUUAUGUUACAUAAAUUCUUGAAAACUCGCACACUGAACACCUGUUCCUGAGAGUCUCUUGGCAGGCCUCUCCGCGGCACCAAUAUCUUCCUUCCUUCUAUUUUGGACAGAGGGGAUUUUGUUUUUUUCUCUGAUCUCCUUACUCUUACUAGCAUCUAGGCUCAAGAAAUGCAAUGUUUGUUUGUUUGUUUGUUUGCUGUCUGAUUGGUGUGUGUACAGUCAUAAGCACACGUGCAUGUAUGGUGUGUGUGUGCGUGUGUGUGUGUGUGUGUGUGUGUGUGUGUGUGUUUGUGUGUUGUAUACACAGGUAUGUGCUCAGGUGUGCGGGUUAGAGGAAGACACCAGGUAUCCUGUUCUGUCACUGACUACUUUAUAUCCUUGACAUGGUCUCGGAACCUGGAGCUAGGCUAGUGGCAGCAAGUCCAGCAACCGCCCUGUCUGUAUCCCACACAGGGCACACAAGUCCUCACGACUGAGCAGCAUGUGCUCUUCCCCAGUCCUCUCAGCCCCCGGGGACUAGGUUUGUGCUUGUCACUGCUGCUCUAAGCUCGGGCUGUUUGUGCGUCAUGGUUUAGUAGCAGCAGUAGUCGUCGUAGUUGUCAUCGUCGUAUUUUUUUAAGACAGGGUUUCUCUGUGUAACAUUGGCUCUCCUGGAACUUGCUGUGUUGACCAGGUUAGCCUCAAACUCAGAGAUCCCAAUUCCCCUGCCUCCUGAGGUCUGGGAUUAAAGGCAUGCACACCACCACUUGGCCUGGGCAGCAUGAUUUAAAACUUCCAGGCUUGGGGUUUCUGCCUUCUCUCUGUUAGCCUGCAACCUCUGGUACUUAUUUCAAGCUGUGUCCUGUAGGUGUCAGUGGCUAGACCGACACAGCCAUUGUCCUGUUGUUAACCUUUAGAAAACACAAUACAGUGUUUAAAACUCAAGUGAAA